rnacentral:rRNA from 1 species
AGCUCCAAUAGCGUAUAUUAAAGUUGCUGCAGUUAAAAAGCUCGUAGUUGCAUUUCCGAGGCAAGGGAUUAGUCCGACCUUUGGUGGGUAUUUAAUCCUCUUGCCUCGUCCUUGAGUGGUGCUUCUUGGUAUUAAGUUAUCGAGGAGAUAGCCGCUCAUCGUUUACUGUGAGAAAAUUAGAGUGUUCAAAGCAGGCUUAUGCCGUUGAAUAUAUUAGCAUGGAAUAAUAAGAUAGGACCUCGGUACUAUUUGUUUGGUUUGAGAACCAAGGUAAUGAUGAAUAGGGACAGUUGGGGGUAUUCGUAUUCAGUUGUCAGAGGUGAAAUUCUUAGAUUUACGGAAGACGAACUACUGCGAAAGCAUUUACCAAGGAUGUUUUCA